GAGCGACUCAGCCCCAAACACAUGAUGUCAUCGUGCGCGGGGGAGAACGCCCUGCCCACAGCAGGUCUGGCGCCCCGGUUGCGAGGGGAUUAGAAGGGUGGAAAAGCAAACAGGAAUGGAUGGAAGGACCAACCUUCUAAAGUACUGAAGCCAAAUGUCAAGCACCCCUUGGCCCCUCAAAAAAACAGCACAAAACUAACCAGGUUAAGUUCCCAACUCUGGGAAUCUUUCCUGCCAGAGGCUUCCUGAGGCCUGCGUAACUGGACAUGUCUGGACUCGCUUGGCUGUCAUCAGAUGGGGUGCUCGCCAGCCAGUAACUAAGCCAUUACUCAAUGGGUUAAGGUGGAAAAGGGACCUUCAGCGCUCACAAUGUGGCAACUGGCCACCAAAUGACAUGCCCAGACAGAAGGUUCCAGGGAGAGGAGCUCUUGUACGGUGUCACCCUGUCAGAAUCAACAAGAGGGCGAGGCUGGCAGGAUCAGCUGGAGGGCAGAGUGACCCGCAGGAAAGAAUGCUGAACUCAGCUCUGCCAGGAACAAGCUCUAGGCCUAUAGCAAAUCUCCUGGCCUGCAUCGGCCUCGGCUUCUGGAUCCCUAAGUCAAACUAAGAUGGUCUAACCCCACGCUGGGUUGUGAGUGUGGGAUGAGACCGUAGAUGUGGAAGUGCUUUGGAAAAUCAAAUCAAAGUACUUGACAUACACAAGAUAUUCCCGAGAGAGGGCUCGAAACAAAGGUUGUUUUGAUCUCAGCCUCGGUUUACUAAGAAGAAAACGAAAACUGGGUUCCAGCAAGGGACUGACUGUAAGAUCCGCUUCAGCCCGUGCCACCGGUUACCAUGGCAACUUGUGACUCUGGUCCAACUACUUGUCCACCGACUCCUAUAGCGAUUGCUUCUGUCAAGUGGGGAAUCGUGGCUCAUCAUCAGGAUUUUUAUAAAGCCCUCUUCGUGAUUAAUAAAAAAAUGACAAUAA